rnacentral:rRNA from 1 species
AACGAACGCUGGCGGCAUGCCUAACACAUGCAAGUCGAACGAGAUCUUCGGGUCUAGUGGCGCACGGGUGCGUAACGCGUGGGAAUCUGCCCUUUGGUUCGGAAUAACAGUUGGAAACGACUGCUAAUACCGGAUGGUGACGAAAGUCCAAAGAUUUAUCGCCAGAGGAUGAGCCCGCGUAGGAUUAGCUAGUUGGUGUGGUAAAGGCGCACCAAGGCGACGAUCCUUAGCUGGUCUGAGAGGAUGAUCAGCCACACUGGGACUGAGACACGGCCCAGACUCCUACGGGAGGCAGCAGUGGGGAAUAUUGGACAAUGGGCGAAAGCCUGAUCCAGCAAUGCCGCGUGAGUGAUGAAGGCCUUAGGGUUGUAAAGCUCUCUUACCCGGGAUGAUAAUGACAGUACCGGGAGAAUAAGCUCCGGCUAACUCCGUGCCAGCCGCCGCCGUAAUAC